ensembl:processed_transcript Gas5 growth arrest specific 5
CUGUGCCACUGACUUAAACCAGUAGGACAAUUUUAUUGUGAAAAAUACAUAAGUUCCCUAGGGUAUGACGAUUGAAACUAUAAAUUUCAGGCCUCUUGGCAAGAGAAUUGAUGUGAGCCCAUGGAGACUAGUGAAGACAACUGAACACUGAGAGAAUAGUGUGAAAUAAAAUGAAGAUAAAUAACUGCACUAAUUAUUUUUAAUUUUCAAACAGAUUGGUCAUUCUGAAUUUCCGGUCCUUCAUUCUGAAUUUCAAAGGCUCCUGUGACAAGUGGACAUGCAGUGACUGUACCUUUGUUUCUGAGGUGAGAACUGCAAAUGCUUAACCGGGAACCUACUCCAGAAUACAUGAUGAUCUCACACAACUUGAACUCUCUCACUGAUUACUUGAUGAUAGUAAAAGAUCUGAUGUUCUGUGUUUUAACAGUAACCAUUUAAGUUAAAAUUGUAGAAAUGUGUUUAACAGCUACCUUCUGUUGUUGCAGGUGCCUGGAUGGAGGCUCAAAUAGAAGAUGGUGUCAGAUAUAUUGUGUUAAAAUUUUACCAUUAAAGUGUAUUAUAACAUGAA